AUGAUAACAAUCUCGGACUGCCCGAUAUGUGUCAUGGAUUGUGAGAGUAUUCGCCAUUCUUUCUUCAGAUGCAACAGAGUGCAAGAGAUCUGGGCAAAGCUGGGCUUGCUCCCCACCAUAAAUGAGCAGUCCGAAACUGAGUUGGAGGGAUCUUCGGUCCUUUGUGACCUGUUGCUAAUGCCAAACGCUGCUGUCCCAUCGCUCCCGGGCGUGCCCAUGAAGGAGCUGGUGGCUGUGGCGGUUUGGUAUAUAUGGUGGGACCGACGGAGAUUCACCCAUGGUGAGCCCAUUCAGGAACUUGGAAGAUUGGCCCAAGCCAUUAUCACUUUGACCAAAAACUUCUUGAGGGCAAGGAAGCAUGGUGCGGGCAGGAUACAGAGACAUGGAUGGACGAGACCUAUAGAGGGAUUUGUUAGCCUCAAUAUCGAGGCCUCUUUUGAUGCUGAUAGUGGCACCGCAUCCACGAGCAACAUCCCGUUUGUCCAGGACGCAGCGACGGCCGAGGCUAGAGGUCUCAAGGAUGGGCUGGUUCUGGCAAACACCACCAGCUGCAACAAGGUGGAGAUCAGGGCGGACUAUAUGGAGGUCAUCCAGAUAAUGCAAGAUGGCGGAAACUCCUUAGGACCAGCUGCAGCCAUCUAUGAGGAGUGUACUUUCUUGUGUCGUAAUUUUAUCGCUGUUAGUUCCAGUCAUUGCCCUAGGGAAGCCAAUAUGGCGGCUGAUCUUUUGGCUACUAAGUCGGAGCCCUCGCGAACUAUCGUGUGGCAGAACGAGGCUCCAGACUUUCUACUCGAUGUAAUCACAAACGAUGUAGCCCUAUUUUCUCAUGAAAUAUAA
rnacentral:rRNA from 1 species